GACGAACGCUGGCGGCGUGGAUUAGGCAUGCAAGUCGAACGGUAGUACCCUUUCGGGGGUAUGAGAGUGGCGAACGGGUGAGUAACGCGUAGGUGAUCUACCUUCAGGUGGGGGACAACCCAGGGAAACUUGGGCUAAUACCGCAUGUGUCCGCAAGGACAAAGCCGGCCUCUAUUUAUAAGCUGGUGCCUGGAGCUGAGCCUGCGUCUGAUUAGCUAGUUGGUGGGGUAACGGCCUACCGAGGCGAUGAUAAGUAGGCGGCUUUAACGAGUGGUCGCCCACACUGGGAUUGAGAUACGGCCCAGACUCCUACGGGUGGCUG
rnacentral:rRNA from 1 species